rnacentral:rRNA from 1 species
GAUGGACGCUGGCGGCGUGCCUAAUACAUGCAAGUCGAGCGAACAGACGAGGAGCUUGCUCCUCUGACGUUAGCGGCGGACGGGUGAGUAACACGUGGAUAACCUACCUAUAAGACUGGGAUAACUUCGGGAAACCGGAGCUAAUACCGGAUAAUAUAUUGAACCGCAUGGUUCAAUAGUGAAAGACGGCUUUGCUGUCACUUAUAGAUGGAUCCGCGCCGCAUUAGCUAGUUGGUAAGGUAACGGCUUACCAAGGCAACGAUGCGUAGCCGACCUGAGAGGGUGAUCGGCCACACUGGAACUGAGACACGGUCCAGACUCCUACGGGAGGCAGCAGUAGGGAAUCUUCCGCAAUGGGCGAAAGCCUGACGGAGCAACGCCGCGUGAGUGAUGAAGGUCUUCGGAUCGUAAAACUCUGUUAUUAGGGAAGAACAAAUGUGUAAGUAACUAUGCACGUCUUGACGGUACCUAAUCAGAAAGCCACGGCUAACUACGUG